GGACUACUGGGGUAUCUAAUCCUGUUUGAUCCCCGCGCUUUCGGGUUUCAGUGUCAGUGUUGGGCCAGAUCGCCGCCUUCGCCACCGGUGUUCCUCCAGAUAUCUACGUAUUUCACCACUACACCUGGAAUUCCACGAUCCUCUCCCACACUCAAGCUCCGCAGUAUCAAAAGCACUUCCAAGGUUAAGCCUUGGGCUUUCACUCCUGACUUACAAAGCCACCUACACCCCCUUUACGCCCAAUGAUUCCGAGCAACGCUUGGACCCCUCGUAUUACCGCGGCGGCUGGCAC
rnacentral:rRNA from 1 species